UGGCUAGCGGGUCUCUCUACGGGACAGCCUCCUGCCUCGGUCGUCCAAUGGAUCAUUCCCGGCUAGAGAGGACGUCACAAGGGAAAUGUGCUUCGGGAAGAAGCUAAUGUUCAGCAUCUGUUUCUACCGUUUCUACAGGGGAAACGGAGAGAGAGCUGUGAGAUGGCGAGUCCCGUGCUUGUGACUCCGGAGUCCAACAGCAAAGAUAAAAGCAGCAGUCACUAUCUGGUGGUCUGGAUAAACAAUCUGCUGAAGACCCAAUUCAAAGAUGUGCGGCAGAUGGGUUCAGGUGCGUGCCACUGUCAGAUGAUGGACUUGGUCAUUCCCGGCUCUGUGGACAUGACCCAGGUGAAGUUUGAUGUGCAAAGUGACGACGACUGUAUGCACAACUUCGGUCUCCUCUGCAAGGCUUUCGACAAGAGCAGCAUCACUAAGACAAUUCCAAUCGUGGAGCUCAUACGAGGGGACUCUCAAAUCAACUUCGAGUUCAUAAAGUGGUUCAAAGCUCUCUACCUGGCCAAUCAGAAAAGGCAAGGGUACAACCCUGUGAGAGCUCGGGGGGGAAAGAAAAUCAGCCCCACUGUCGCAACCACUAACCUGCUUAUAGAGGAUUUCCAGAGCUCAUCCGGUAAUUUCCUUUUCAAUGAAAAGUGGAUGUAUAUUUACGACUGGGCCGACCAGAGCCCUCUCGGAGAUAACUACACCUACUGCCGCACCUGCAACCGCAGCCUGAAGACAUUACAGAGAGGCCCCGUUGAACUCCGGCGACAUGCGGACACUAACAAACACAAGAAAAGGACUCUAAUCUACCAGAAGACCGUGAGGCAGAGCCAGCGGUCCGAAACGCUGCCGUGUAGCGACGCCGCCGUUAGCUUCAUCAACAAGCACUGCUACACCGGCCCGGCUAAAUCUGAACACAAGGCUCGACUCUUUGCUCGCUGUCGUUUGGGGUCUCAGUAUCCCAAAGAUAUCACCUCCGCCUGCCAGCGCACGCCUUACUGCCUGUACAUCUUCGGAGGGGAACCGCUGGGAAAAGACCACUCCGUGGUCCUCGUUGGGUUUUUUGACGUCGACGCCUCCGGUCAUUGCUUACAAUUUCUGGAUGCUCUUCAGUCAGAGGACAGCACCGGAGAGAAAAAAAAAGCCACGGCGGUGGUGGAGACGGUGAAGAAGUUCGGGUUGCACACGGAUAAUCUCGUGGCUGUUUAUUCGGAUGACGAUGGCGCGGAUUCAGAGCAGAUCUGCACACAACUCAGGGAACUCAACCCCAAUAUAGUCGCUAUAGGAGGGCUGUACGCCAUCGCUGAUGCUUCCUACCACGCUGGGAUCAAGGCGCUCUCCAAUCAGGUCCAAGAGUUCAUAGUAGAUAUGCACACCCACCACUCCUCCUGCUCUACGAAGAACGAUGACCUCACGGCUGUUUUCGGCUCAGACAUCAGUGCAGACGAUCCGUUUGAUCUCAACUCCGGCUGCCUUAAGUUCUGCCUGUUAGUCACUAAUAUAUUGGAAGUAUGGACGGAUCUCAUCGCGUACUUUAAGUCUUGUGACGGCAAAGAUGAGAAAGCCAAGUCCGUCUGCUCCCAGCUGCAGGAUCCCAAAGUCAGAGCCACGUUUCUGUUCCUGCAGCACGCUUUAAAACCUCUGCACAGUUUCCAGAGUCGCCUGCAGACGGAGGAGGAAGUGGACCGAGCCGACAUGCUGCUCAUCCUGCAGGAGGCCAGUAAACUGCUGAGCACCUACACCUCAUACUUCCUCCGUCCUGAGGCUGCUGAUCGCUUCCUCAAGGAACGAGACGCCCAAAUCCUUAAAGACAAGAGUUUCCAUCUGUCUGGUUCUGAGAUCAAUCUGGGAGGGAAAGCAGUGGAAGACUUCCUGAAGGAGUCAGAGGCUCUGUUCGAGGAGGAGGCGCUGUCUUUCUACGCCGCACUCACAGGUUGCAUUGCAGAGAAGCUUCCUCUCGGUGAGGAGACUCUCCGGAGCAUCUCUCAGCUGCUGAACCCUCGGAGCAGACAGGAAGUGACGGGGAAAUCAGUCGGGGAACUCGGGACUUCGCUGGGAAUCUGCAGCUCCGAGGAGGAGGAGGAACUCAUCGCUGAAUUCCUGGAGUACCAGAAGGCUGAGGAGGGGGAGAACUCUGCACAGGUACACAUGCUUACAAAAGAUGGAAAUACUGUUUCCCACAGUCCCGAGGUUCCUCUGGAGGAGCACUGGGCCAGCGUACUGAAGGACACUAAGCCCGGAUCAGGGUUCAGGAAGCUUGUUCUGACCCUGCUGGCUCUGCCCUGCCCGCCCCUGGAGGCGCAGCAUGUUUUUACCCAGGCUCUGGGAGCUGAAGAGGCCACGCUGUUCUCUGAGAGUGAAGCUUUAACAGAAAGUGAUUCUGAGCUCACGUCCGACGGAUUUCCCUCUGAUAACAACCGCUGCACGGACCCCCGAAUCCACUCUGAAGCAAUGAAUGGUCUCAAAGUAAAGCAUUGUGAAGUCCGCCUCACAAAGAUAAACGACGAUGAGAAUGGAGACGAUUGCAAAGAGAUGACCACUAGGGGAAGUUUUGGCUGGGAGAGCAGCUUGCGGCAGAAACCUCAGGCCCGCGCAGUGUUUCAGGCGGGUGUUAGCACCUGGUCCGCCCCCCAACCUAUUGAUCAGGACAGCAGAAAGGGUCUGGAGUCCCAGGAAGAGAGGUCUCAGGCAGAAGAAUCAUCUCCGAUCAGUAAACCCACUCCAAGAAAUCGCCGGAAACACGUCUACACGGACGGGAAGGGUUUCCUGCGCGGGGAGUUGAUCUGGGGGAAAGUGAAGGGUUUCUCCUGGUGGCCCGGGAUGGUGAUCCCCUGGAAAAGUAAAUCCUCUCCUCCCGGGAUGAGGAGGGUCGAGUGGUUCGGAGACGGGAUGUUCUCAGAGAGCUACACGGAGGGUCUCAUGGUCUUCAGUGCCUUCAAUAAGUGCUUCUGCAAAAACUCCUACGCCAGCCUGCCCGUCUACAAGGAAGCCAUUUACCAGAUCAUCGAGCUGGCUGGUGAGCGCUGUGGGAAGUCUUUCUCUGGAAAAGGAGGAACCAAAGAGAAGGAGCUGAAGCUGAUGCUGGACUGGGCCUCUGAGGGUUUCCUGCCCUCCGGCCCCAAGGGAUUCCUGCCUCCUGAUGCCGCCGCCGCCGCUCUUCAGGAAACUUCUGACUCGGCCCCGUCUGACUACCAGCCUCCACCAAAAAGGAAAUAUUUUUUAAAAAACAAGGCAAUCACACCCGCCAUCAUCUAUAACCGAGAAUUGAUAAGAGAAAAGGUCAAAGAGGAGGGGAGAACAAUUGAAGAUUUCUGCUUGUCUUGUGGAUCCACUGAGCUUCAGGUGCAGCACCCGUUGUUCGAAGGUGGUCUUUGUCUCAGAUGCAAGGAGAACUUCACAGAGACGCUGUUCCGUUACGAUGAAGACGGAUACCAGUCGUACUGCACCGUGUGCUGCGCCGGACAGGAAGUCAUUCUGUGUGGAAACACCAGCUGCUGCAGGUGUUUCUGUAAGGGCUGUCUGGAGAUCCUGGUGGGUCCGGGGACCUUCGACACUCUGAAGGAUAUGGAUCCGUGGAUCUGCUACAUGUGUAAACCCUCUCUGUGUGCCGGGAACCUCAAACUGAGGCCGGACUGGAGCGUCAAGGUCCAGGACUUCUUCGCCAACAACAGCGCCAUGGCCUUCGAGCCUCACAGAGUUUACCCCUCCAUCUCCGCUGAUCAGCGCCGACCAAUCAGAGUGCUCUCGCUUUUUGACGGCAUCGCAACAGGCUACCUGGUGCUCAAAGACCUGGGCUUUAAGCUCGAUCGCUACAUCGCCUCAGAGAUCUGCGAGGACUCCAUCGCUGUGGGGCUGAUAAAGCACGAGGGAAAGAUCGAAUACGUCAACGAUGUUCGAACCAUCACCAGGAAACACCUGGCGGAGUGGGGUCCGUUUGACCUUCUGAUCGGAGGCAGUCCAUGCAACGACCUCUCCAUGGUCAACCCUCUGAGAAAAGGAUUAUUCGAGGGAACUGGACGUCUGUUCUUUGAGUUUUACCGCCUGCUGACGCUCAUGAAGCCGAAGGAGGGCGACGACCGCCCGUUCUUCUGGCUGUUUGAGAACGUGGUGUUCAUGAGUGGCCACGAUAAAUCAGACAUCUGCAGAUUCCUGGAGUGUAAUCCGAUCCUCAUCGAUGCAGUGAAGGUCAGUCCUGCUCACCGAGCGCGAUACUUUUGGGGAAACCUCCCCGGCAUGAACAGACCUCUGGCUACGGCUAUGGAUGAUAAAGUCGGCCUGCAGGACUGCUUGGAACGCGGACGCAUGGCAAUGUUUGAAAAGGUCCGCACCAUCACAACAAAGUCCAACUCGAUCCGGCAGGGGAAGAUGGGCCCGCUGCCGGUCACCAUGAACGGAAAAGAGGAUUACCUGUGGUGCACGGAGAUGGAACAGAUCUUUGGCUUCCCCAAACACUACACCGAUGUGAACAACAUGGGUCGAGCUCAGAGGCAGCGAGUGCUCGGGAGAUCCUGGAGCGUCCCGGUGAUCCGACACCUGUUCGCCCCGCUGAAGGACUACUUUGAAUGUGAAUAACAACUGUGAACAACAACUGUAAACAACAACUGUGAACAACAACUGUAAACAACAACAACUGUGAACAACAACUGUGAACAACAACUGUGAACAGCUGAUCCUGCCUUACUAACACCACGGUAUUCAAUCUGUCCUGAUUCACUGUUCGACUUUUAGACGUGUUUUUCUCAUCGUUUUUAUCCGCUCUCACCAGCAGGCACCGACACUUCCUCCUCUCGGUGCGUUGAUCAAACUAUAAUCUACUCCUGAAGGACGAGGCGAGAUUAACGGGGGGUUAACUAUUUUUCUUUUGGGCUAAUCUCAGGUUAUCUGUUGUCACAAAGAUGGUUAAAAAACAUUUUCCUGACCGAUCAACUCAGGUGUAAAAAGUAUUAAUUCCUACAGGAAACACAAGCAGUCAAGACAUUUGUUUGCCUACCAUUAUAAUAAACAAUCAGGAUUAAAUGAGUCAGAGCUUUACUUCUAUCCAUUAUUGUUGGUUCAUCAUUUGAAAAAAGCCUUAGUAAUACUUAUUAAUAGCCUUCAUUUCCAUAUUUGGACAUCAUUUCAGGGUCUAUGCAGGAGUCCUGAAGUCAAAUGUAAGACCUUUUUUAAGACCCUUUCCACACAUUUUAAGACCUCAUCGUCACUUUGAGUUCUAACCGGUUACCUUGGCGACACACUUUACCUCACAUUGACUAUAUACAGCAUUGAUUGUCCUUCCUCCUUAUCUUCCAACCAUUUGGACGCAGACUUGCAUUUCCCCAUAACGAUGCUGUUUAACAACCGGUGUAAACGGACCUUUGCGCGCUAUCAAGCAGUGAGCGUGCGAUGUCCUGUUCAGAUGACGUCAGAUCCAACGGGAUGCCAUCAAUAAACUACACAGAAUCACACUACACACCUACGCAAUGAUUACAUUCAGGCAGACUGUAGAAUACAACCUCUUUGGACAAUUCAUAUACUUAUUGAAAACAAGCUACAAAAUGUAAAAAUGCCGUUUAAUACUUUUUAGAACUUUUUAAUAGCCUUCGUUUUCAACUUGUAAUGCUUUUUAAGACCCCGCGGACUUUAUGGCCUUUGCCAUAUCCAUAUUUGGACAUUAUCCAUAAUAUUUCUACAAGGGCUGGACCAAAUAUUCUAAGGUUUCACCAAAUUAGGAACAAAAUAUAAAUCAGAUUAUGUACGUUUCUGCAGCCCUGUUAUCAUAGUAGGAACUUUAAUUCUUCAUUCAUAGCUGGAUAUGUGGAUUAUAAAUUAACAUUUAAAUGUGCUUAAUGUGUCUGUGCAGAUACAGAUAAGACACUAAUAUCAUUUCAAUCAGGACAGACGGUUCUGAUGAAAGAAUACAUAUUUGUUGCCAGGAAUACACAAAUGAAUGUAAUGGAGUUUUGGCGAUUAGGCCCCUCAUUCAGGAGGGGAGAACCGAUCUGAUGAAACCCCCCGGGGUCUAGACCCUGGUGGUGGUGUAUGGAUAGUUGGGUUCGGUCUGAAGGGGAGGGGCUUAACUUGACCCUGGAUUCAGAGGGACAGGACGUGAAAAGGGGGAGAGGAGAGUUGCAUCGAGUCACCUGAAAUGACAGCUGUCAGAGGGGAGAGCAGAGUUAAAAAGGGUUAGCGGAGCGCUGUGAUAGGCUUGUGAGAAUAGAGCGAAGUGAUUGGUUAAGCUCGAUCACUUAUUGAGAGGAGAGACAGUAGUAACAUAGAAAUAGGAAAUUAAUGAGUAAAGACGGACUUCCUUGUUGAACUUGCGCUGAGGUUCAUUUGUUGACAUUUAUAAAAAAAAACAUUUUCGUUAAAUAACAUUUUUUUAAAAGCUCGUAAUGUUAAAGUAGGAACUUGUGUAACCAUUCAUAGCUGGAUAUUUGGAUUAUAAAUUAACAUUUAAAUGCUGCCGAUCACGUUAUAUACAUAUAAUAUAUAUUUAGUGAUUAUCUGUUAUUCAGCAUCAUUUUUAAUCCCGUUGAUCUCGCUCUGUGCUUCAGGCUCUACCUCAACAUCCAUCAGUCAGUAUUUCUGUAUUUUUACCGUAAUAUUUUACCAGGUUUCGAUCCAAACAUGUUCAUUGUCAGCUGAUUUUUGUAUACGUUUUAUGCAAAUGACAUUCAUCUCUCUGUGGUUCUUUACAGAAUCACUCACUGGUUGGUGCUAAACUCUUAUUAUCCUCCAUUAUUCUAUUACAAUGUCUGCUUUUAAUACCAAAAAUAUGUUCUGUCUAAUCAUGGAGAACAAACCAAGGCGUGUUAAAGAGCUUUUUUAUAAAAGUGACUAUUAAAGACCAGCUCGGUUCCACCUCAGGAACAAACCAUUUCUACUGGAAGAUACCAACUAAUACAGUCAUGUGUCUCUUUUUGUUUUUUUGAAGCCAUUUGGCACGAUUGAUUUUGUUUUAGAUAAAGAGGGUGAAACGUUAAAGAAAAAAGGAAAUAAAAAUAAUGAAUAAAAUGCUAAAAUCUCAUAAAAAAAUAUUAUAUUAGUUUAAUUUUUAGAAGUAGAGAAACACCAGCAGCUACUGUAAUAAAAGAUAAUUGAAAUAACAAUCAACGCAUUUAACUUGACCUCUUACGUUCAGUUUUCAGUCAUUUUUAGCGUUAAAUUAACCAACAAUGUGUAAAACUACAAAAGAUAUGGCUCCAAUAUAUCUAUGCUCAUUGGACAUUUGUUAUUAAAGUAGAAUCCCAAAAUACUUUUUGCAGCUCUGAUACAAACAAAGGAGGAGCUUCUUAAGGGCCGUGGUGAUUGUUCGAAGCCUUAUUCGUACUGAGAAUUACAAUUGAAUGUUGAUUUAAAUGCUAAAAAAGACUAAUUGGAUCCCCUGAAUGCCUUACAUUCAAAAUGUAGGAUUUUGAUAUGAUGACAGUCCUUUAUAGAAGCUUGGAAUGUGAAAUCCAAAGCCUUAAUCUUCGUUUAAUCCCAUAGUAACGUUUAUUUAGCAAACAAACCCACUGAUAUGGUCUUUAAAUCUCAGUGAGAAAUACAACAUGUGUGUUUUAACUAACUAAAAGUCUUAUUUUAGCCUUAUAAUGAACUCUUAAAUCAUCAACAGUGCUGCUAAUCUGUGCCUGAUUUAGGGUUUUAAUGUCACUUGUGUUUUUGUCGUUAAACAUGAAGAUAUUUGAGCUGCCUUCAGUGUGAAUCUGGGAUUUCCCCUGUAGUGUUUUCAACAUUUUAACUGGAGUCAAAUCAUAUUUCUGAGUCUCUUUUUACCUCAUUCUUUUGGGUGUUUUAAUUCCUGAUGGCGCUAAGCUAACGGCGCUAAGCUAACGGCGCUAAGCUAGCGGCGCUAAGCUAAAGGUGCUAAGCUAACGGUGCUAAGCUAACGGUGCUAAGCUAACGGCGCUAACCUUGCAUGUACAGUUUGUUUUUUAAUGGGCCGCAGCUCAAAAUGGAUUUCUUGUAGUCUGUUGUUGUUUUUCUGUGUGUUGAUGUUUGUUUUUUAUGAAAUGACAGUGAUAUCAGUAAAUAUUAGUGUGAUGUAAACAAAUUGAUGAUUAAAAAGUGCAAGAGGGAUUUGCAUGGGAUCUGUUUCCUUUUCAGGACUUUAUUGUUUUUACUGUUUUCUGUAAUUAAACUCAUACAUGCA